rnacentral:lncRNA from 1 species
ACUGGAUAUGUCACCAGUGAGCACUUGUGUGACUUCAGGCUCUCCCCCAAAGUGAAAAUGACCAUGAAAGAUAAAUGCUUUGAAUGGAUUCAGGACAUCCAGGCAAUCAUGACAGCACAGCCAGACACUCACACAAGUGGAAUUCUGGAACUGUUUCCCAAAAGUGGCCAGAAAGAGCUGAACCAGUCAUUUCUAAUGUUCAAGUUUUGAAAAAGGAGAACCAGCCUAGGUAAUGUUUGUGGGUAGACAUGUGCAGCGCUGGCCGCCAACUAAC